ensembl:miRNA
UGAGUGUCGUGCUCUACUCCAGAGGGCGUCACUCACAUAAACUAAAACAUGAUUGUCGCCUUUUUGAGUAGAGUAAUACACAUCA